rnacentral:rRNA from 1 species
UACGUAGGGCGCAAGCGUUGUCCGGAAUUAUUGGGCGUAAAGAGCUCGUAGGCGGUUUGUCGCGUCUGUCGUGAAAGCUUGGGGCUUAACCCCAAGUCUGCGGUGGAUACGGGCAGACUAGAGGCAGGUAGGGGAGAACGGAAUUCCCGGUGUAGCGGUGAAAUGCGCAGAUAUCUGGAGGAACACCGGUGGCGAAGGCGGCAUCCUGGACCGGUAUUGACGCUGAGGCGCGAAAGCUAGGGGAGCAAACGGG